GUCGCCACCUCAUUCGCAGGGCCAACACAGACAGACAGACAACAUUCACACUCACAUUCACACCCUAAGGCCCUUUUAGUGUUGCCGAUCAACUUAUCCCCAGGUGCAUGUCUUUGAAGGUUUGGAGGAAGAUGGAGUACCCGGAGGGAACCCACGCAGUCACAGGGAGGACAUGGAAACUCCACACAAAAAGAUCCCGAGCCUAUGAUCGAACCCAGGACCUUCGUAUUGUGAGCAAGAAGGCUGCAGGCAAUCACGCAUCAGCGCACCUGGUCCUGACGAGAGGGAGUGGCAUAAAAAGCCAGAGAAGCCAGGACACCUUCAACAGAACCUAGCCGAUCUUCCCUGAGUAAGCAAUCACGUCUGGCACCCCUCCCUCGUUCCUUGCUCGCCUUCUUUGUUCCUGUCUUGAUGUGCUUUGUGUCUUCCAUGAUCGUGUUUUGCCUCACAACCUCCUCCCGGAUCUUUGCUUGCCUUCCCUGAUCCUCGACCACUGCUUGGACCCGGACAUAGUUGCCUUUCUCCAGCCCCCGACUGUUUGCCUCCCUACUGACUGCCUCUUUGCCUUCCCCCUUGGGUUCGAUGAAAGAUACAUUCAACAUGCACCGACAACAUCCUCUGGUAAAUCCCACAUUGUUAAUUCUACGCAUCGUCCGCAUUCACUCACUAGUGGUAGCAUACACACUCCACACAUUCAUCAAAGGUUUGAAUAAACCUUCUAAACCGAAGUUCUGCUUUGGUGUCGCCUCUUUCCCUUUGCCUAGUACACAUCAUUAUUAAAUACUUAUUAAUGCCAUAUUCUGCAUGGGCUUAUUACACAACAACCCUAACCAUAACCCUCUAACCUUAACCCUAACCAAAUAACUCUUAAUUAAGUCUUUGUUACUUAGAAUGUGUUCCCCAUACUAAAGUGUUACCAAAUUUGUUGAUGGGGUCCUAGAAUAGCCAGCAAUGACUGAUGUCCAGCAAGUCCAUAGCAAGCUACAGGCAAAAAAGGCUGAGCCGUUCACAUCUGAUGACAAGCUUUCGACAUUAACAAUUGCAACAAUGAGCAGAAUGUGACUUUGCCUCUUGGGUGUGACCAACAAUGCCUGCCAAACCCCAGCUGUUCCAACAAACGGUGACAAGUGCAAAGCAAGAGGCCGGAUUGGGGGCAGGGUGUGGCAUGGCGGUGUGGGGGAUCAUGGGGGUGGGAUGCCAUGGUGACGGACCCUGCUUCGGAUGCUCAAUGAAGCCAUUGUUUGGCCCAAGUGAAGCAUAUCGCACAAUGACAGGCACAUUCUGACCCAAAACAAGCCUAUUGUCAGGCCAAGUGUUUGCCUCCGGCGUCCAUCAGAAGUAGGCAUGAGUGGACCAACACAGAGAAGGAAGAAGUUGCUAGCAUGAAGCUUCGCCCCCAGUGCAUUAACACCAGCAAGAGAGCGUGCUGACAUAAGGCAAUGGCAGGGGGGCUCAGCUGCACUAAGGCAGCUAAAUGACAUCCGCCGUUGAAAAAAUAAUUAGACCUUGCUGCUGCUCAUGCUGCUGCUGGCGCUUUCAUUUAGUCUUCCCAAGUGUUGCCCUUCAUGGAAGCCAGUCCUUCUCAAAUGGUGGGACAGGCCCCCCUGGGGGGCGCUGUGUGGUGCGUGUGAUUCCUUUUUUGCCGUACCAGAAUAUGAUGAUGAAGCGUGUUUAGCCACUGUAACCACAGAGGGAGACGAGGAAAGGCCGGUGAUUUGUUUCUUUUAAUGUUAAUAAGCUUACAAUGUUAUGCAGAGGUAUAAUUAUGACAACAUUAUAGACAAACUAGAUGAGGCAAUUCCCAAAGGAAUUGCAUGUGAAUGCUCCAACGCUGAAGUUGAACUAAAAUCCUGGAUUUUUUUAAAUAAUUGUUGAAGUUGUCAGGGCGCGUGCACAAUCCCGCAGGCUCUGCCGGCACCUCCGCUGGAAGUGCGCCGGGACACACCCCUGCUUGCUCUGCAAGUAUCGCAGCCACGCGUCUGCAGGCAAUCGUCAAUCAGUGCACCUGGGCUUGAUGAGGGCAGGCAGCAUAAAGACCAGCGGACCAGAAGAUCCAGUGCCGGAACCUAGUUCACUCUUGCAGUAAGCAUCCCGUCUCUGGCUCAGUGGCCUUGUGGUUAGAGUGUCCGCCCUGAGAUCGGUAGGUCGUGAGAUCAAAUCCCGGCUGAGUCAUACCAAAGACUAUAAAAAUGGGACCCAUUACCUCUCUGCAUUAAGGGUUGGAAUUGGGGGUUAAAUCACCAUAAAAUUAUUCCCGGGCGUGGCACCGCUGCUGCCCACUGCUCCCCUCACCUCCCAGGGGGUGAUCAAGGGUGAUGGGUUGAAUGCAGAGACUAAUUUUGGCACGUCUAGAAUGUGUGUGACAAUCAUUGGUACUUUAACUUUAACUUCCCUCCCGCGUACUUGCUCUCUCUCUGUGCCCUCCCUGUUCCCGUGUCGUAUGUCCUUUGAGUUUGCAGUAGUGUUUCCCGUAAUCGAGCUUUGUGCCUCGACUUCCCUCUGGAUUCCGGACUGCCUGCCUUGAUCCUCGACCCCUGCUUGGACACGGACCUUGUUGCUUCUCUCCUGUUGCCUGCCCAUGGACUGCCUUCUCGCCUUGCCCCUUUGGGUUCUUCCAACGCGAACAUACAACAAACUCUGAAAGAAACAAGGCAGCAUUAGAGACUUGGUACAAAGGAAGGUGUGCACACCACAGCAAGCUGCUGCACUGACUGAUGCUACCCGAAUAUGUUGGUAACUGACAUGAGGCCACUAUCAAUGGUGAAGGAUGAAGGUUUUAGACAAAUGAUUCACGUCCUCAACCCUGGUUACACUCUUCCCUCGAGGAACCAUUUUACCAAACUGAGGGAGAGGAAGUACAAGCGGACAUUCCAUGCUGUGUAGACUGACAUAAAAGCCACCCAGAGCAAACUUGCUCUCACUACUGAUGUGUGGACAAGUGUUGCCUACUUUGGCAAUACAUGCCACUACAUUGGAGACGAAUGGAACAUGAAGUCAAUCUGCCUUACCACCAUGCCACUAGAGGAAAGACAUUCAGCAUCCAACAUUGCAGAAUGGUUGGAAUAGGUAGUAGCCAGGUUUGAAAUUACCCUAAGCAAAAUUAUUGCUAUUGUGCAGGACAAUGGUGCACUUUAUAUUAAAAAAAAUACAUUUUUUGUAACACUUGCCUUGUUUUAUUUGGCAAGUCGAAAGGACA